rnacentral:lncRNA from 1 species
CCUGCCAGCCGGCGCCCGGUUGGUGCGCGCCGCCGUCUGUCGCCGCGGCUCCUCCCCUCCGCCGCGCAGCCCUCCCCCUUCGCCGGCCCCGCCCCCGCCCCCAACGCCGAGCCGGCUCCCACCGUCGCUGCGCCUCGGGGGCUGGAGACGCGACCCGCUUUACCGCGACGCGCGGGGGCUGCAGUCCACGGGUCCGAAGGCUUAGCUCUGCGCGCAAAGCGCCGGGAUGCGAACGCGGGAUCUGGAGCUCGUCGGUGCCGAGAGCUGCCAGAGAGUUGGAUUCUGCGUGCAGCUGCCGGACUCGGCCCCAUGUUUUUGCUCUAGUGGGUCUGUGGCUGCGCCCUCUCGAAGGAAGUAAUAAAUCUUUCUGACCUUGGGGGUCAGAGGAGACGCUUCAGUUUUCCGGAGGGGUGUGCGGGCGGGACCGUCUUUCCGCUUUACUGGACCUCUGGCCGGGGCUGCUCUUGUUUCAUUGUGCCCCACAUGCGGAGCCCCGAUGCUCUCCGCAUUUCCGCUCGCGGUGCUGCGUCCACUGUGAUUGACGUCCUCUGGAAUUGGGGUGAUGGGGGAGGGGAACGCCCCGUUCUAAUUUGCAGAAAAAUACUUGUCCCGCUUCUUGGUUUUGUAGAUGAGAUCAAAGAACUUGACCCCAAAGGAAACACCGUUGUUGAAAGAAAAUCAUUUUUCAGUUGCUUUAGGUUUAAGUACUUUUGUUUAAGGUUAUGAGGAAAAGCGUCUCUCUCUCCCCCCAACUCCCUCCCUCCCCAAGAACACUAAGCUGUAGCCUCAACUUCAUCUGUAGAAUGGGGACAGUUGUAACAGCCUCCGGAGACUGAACGGUGGUUGAGUAUCAGAGCGCGCACACGAAAGGUUAGACCUGAGUUCAGGCCUCCAAGUGCCGAAAAGGGAAUCUCCGUGGGGCCUGAGGCUCAGCACCCUCGGAUAAACAGAGCUCUCGCUGAUCCGGAGUUUUGUUGCCUCCUGUCCCAGUAGAGUUUUUAGAAGUUACUGCACAAUUAUCUUUGUAGCGUUUCGGGCAGACUUUUCAGAGGACCGUUCUAACAUUAAAAUAUUGCUGUUUGCGCCAUUAUUCUUCCAUGAGUCUUACAGAAUCCCCUGAGUACAAAGACUUGAAAAGUGACUUAACUCGCUUUCCACGGGUUUUUAACUCUCUUACGGAUUUAGUUUCAGGGGAGAAAAAUGUUCAAAAAACUUAUUUAUCCUUGUUUUCCAGAAAAACCCAUAAUGUCACGAGUACAGUUCAGCUUAUUUUUUCUCCUGGGGAGGGGGAUUGGGACAAGGACAGCAGAGCUCAAAUUUUAUAUCCAGCUUUCUCAAAUAAUAUGGCAUUGCCUCUGGAAGUGGGUCGAGACAGGCAAGAAUCCCUGUUAACAGAUGAAGGUGGUAGAGUUUAAUUGAGCGACUCCCCAUCUUUUCCUUUUCUGGAAUCCCCAGCCUCCCUUCGCCUACUCUCUCAAAUGCCCCUGCCCCUUUUUCACCACCUCUUUUACCACGAAAACUAAAAUGACAUUGGUGCAUGAAAAGACUGAUGGGAGAGAGAGGGAAUUGGGGAGGAAAGUAAAUCUCAAUUUUAAUAUUCAACAUGAUUCCAAGAAAAAUAAUUUCUAAUAUUUUUCAUUUAGUUUCUGGCUUUGUGCUUACCCAGAAAAAAACUGAAUUGCAUUAGUCGAUGUAGGGACCCUUUUUAAAAACAAUUGUUUGCAUAGAAAUAAUUCCGUUUGCAAUUUUGUAACACUUUACUGGUGUUGGCAAAAUAGUAAAUCCAUUUGCCAGGUGCCCCCACAGUGCUCAGCUGGCAUAAAUUUACGGGUUCUGGCAUCUCCACCCUCUCCUUGCUUGCAAAUUUUUCCCAUUUUGCAUGGUGUCAUGAUUAAUUCUGAACUUUGUUAUAGCUAAUGACAUCUGAAAACUUCAUAAUGCCUUCCUUCCCGCAUUUGUUUGGAAAUUCCUUUCAUUUUAAUCUACUUAUUUUAGCAUAGUAAUGACCCAGACAUAUAAUAUGUCACAUAAUAAUGUCACUUGCACAAGAGCCAGUCAUGCCACAGGGCUAGCCUUAAUUUCGGCUCACUGGUUUAGUUUGUCACAAUUCCAUCUCCCCCAGGAUGCUCUUUCAGUCUCUGUCUUCUCUGCUGCCUGUUAUGUUCUAUUGGAAACUGUCAGGCCUCUGAGCCAAAGCUAAGCCAUCAUAUCCCCUGUGACCUGCAUGUACACAUCCAGAUGGCUGGUCCUUGCCUUAACUGAUGACAUUCCACUACAAAAGAAGUGAAAAUGGCAGGUCCUGCCUUAACUGAUGACAUUACCUUGUGAAAUUCCUUCUCCUGGCUCAUCCUGGCUCAAAAAGCUCCCCCACUGAGCACCUUGUGAUCCCCCCCUCCACACCUGCCCACCAGAGAACAACCCCCUUUGACUGUAAUUUUCCUUUACCUGCCCAAAUCCUAUAAAACGGCCCCACGCCUAUCUCCCUUCACUGACUCUCUUUUCGGACUCAGCCCGCCUGCACCCAGGUGAUUAAAAAGCUUUAUUGCUCACACAAAGCCUGUUUGGUGGUCUCUUCACACUGAUGCGAGUGAAAGAAACUUGCUGUGGCUUUUGCUUAAUCCUGGACAAAUGUCCAGAGAUCUUCAAGGACUUUCUUCCAGAGUCUGAACUGGGGAAAGAUGCAAG